AUUUUGUAGUGAGCUAAGUGAGUUGGUGUAAUACGGUAUCGACAACGUAGAGGAGGUGAAAGUCAAAGUACUUUGGUGUAAGUCCUGCAGACGCAGGGUCGUGAAUUCAGCAGUCAUUAGUGAAGCCAGGAAAAUUGAUUAGACUGUCAACUUUUCUGAUAAGAACUCAAGUGGAACCUUAUAUUCUCCAGGAUUCGAUUUUAUAUCGAAGGUGUCCCAUAUCAACAGGGAUACCAGAGAGCGAGGAGGAAUGGAUGUCAGUGUCUGAAGAGUUUGAUCGGAAAUGGGACUUUCCUCACUGCCAUCGAGCUAUUGAUGGAAAACAUGUUAAAAUUACAAAGCCAUAUAACUCUGGUUCUUACUACUAUAAUUAUAAAGGUACUUUUAGUUGUAGUUUUAAUGGCUAUAGUUAAUGCCAAAUGUCAGUUCCUUAUGGUACAUAUAGGAACAAAUGGAAGAGUCUCAGA